GACGAACGCUGGCGGCGUGCUUAACACAUGCAAGUCGAACGGAAAGGCCCUGCUUUUGUGGGGUGCUCGAGUGGCGAACGGGUGAGUAACACGUGAGUAACCUGCCCUUGACUUUGGGAUAACUUCAGGAAACUGGGGCUAAUACCGGAUAGGAGCUCCUGCUGCAUGGUGGGGGUUGGAAAGUUUCGGCGGUUGGGGAUGGACUCGCGGCUUAUCAGCUUGUUGGUGGGGUAGUGGCUUACCAAGGCUUUGACGGGUAGCCGGCCUGAGAGGGUGACCGGCCACAUUGGGACUGAGGUACGACCCAGACUCCUACGGGAGGCAGCAGUGGGGAAUAUUGCACAAUGGGCGGAAGCCUGAUGCAGCAACGCCGCGUGCGGGAUGACGGCCUUCGGGUUGUAAACCGCUUUCGCCUGUGACGAAGCGUGAGUGACGGUAAUGGGUAAAGAAGCACCGGCUAACUACGUG
rnacentral:rRNA from 1 species